GGAGGGACCUGGACCUGCUGACCCGGUGCUGAGAGCAGCUGGAGCGGGUGGGCAGGCGCUGCUGGAGGAGGUGGUGCUGGGCGAGGCGGACAUGGAGCUGCUGGGUCCCGGCCCUCUGUGGAGAACCGGCCUCUGUGAGCAGUCUGUGGAAGGCACCAAGGCACCGGCAGCCUGCAGGAGGACGCCUCCCUUCCCCAGGGGCUGAAGGGCUGCAGCUGGGGGUGUGAGGAGGGCAGUGCAGAGUGCUGCCUCCAGGAGAGCCCAGCCUAGUGACCUUGGCUGUGAAAGCAGCUGCCCAAAUCUCUGGAAAACAAAUUAAAACAUGGUAACAGCAAA